rnacentral:lncRNA from 1 species
AAAAAUAAGCAUGUGCCACUUAUCUGUUCAGUGUUAUUGAAUCAUUUUUGAAUCAUUUCAGUAUAGAAUGAUUUACUUUUUUUUUCUUUUUUUUUUUUUUUUCCCUGCUGAUCCUUGGCCAUAGCCCAGGAAAAGUUGUGCACUGUUAUCACUCUCAUGGGAUUUACCAGAAAGGGAGCAGGAUCUAAAUAAGCUUAAAAGUUUCUGAUUACCAUGAUUGGAACAUCAAAAUCCUUUAACAAUAAUAAUAAUAAUAAUAAUAAUAAAAAAAUCCCAAUUCUUUUAUAACUGUGCAUUCAAAUCCUACAGGUUAUUCAGGUCCUACACCAUCUGAUUUCUGUGCCACCUCACUGUUUUCUUCUGCCUCUGAAUGGCCCUGGGCAGGUGCCCCUCCUGUUGGGUCAGUCAUUUCCUAACUCACAAAUUGGGAAGCCAUGCUGGGUGGUCAGAGCUCAACCAAGGCUCCUUUGCAAAAGCAAUGCAGUCCUUCACACAGCAGCCUCUUUGGGCUAAGGUGGGUACAAAUCCACACCUGUCAUUAGGACUGCCAUCAUCAUUGCCCAGUAAUGAUGAUAAUGAGACAGUUCCUAGCAAUGCAUUAUUAAUAUGAUGCUGUUACCCACAGCAAGUGCUGAUCUCUAAAGUUUUAUUACACCGAGGCAGCCUUAAAAUCUUCAAAUCAUUUACAGCUUUAUCACACUUUCUCAGUAGCUGUUAUUGCUCAGACAUCCCUCUUUUUCUUCCUCUUGCCUUCUCAGAUGAGCAAAGAUCUUUGAUGCUUCCAUUUUCUCACUCCAUGAAUGGAUCAAAGAGCCCAAAAUCCACAGGGCUUUGAAACAGGAGGAGCAGUGGAAGAGAGAUUACAGUCAGCUGGAACAGAAAUGCAUUAGUCUGGAGCUUGAUUGGUCUGGUUUUGUGGUUGACAUUUGUGAGCAUGAAAGCAUUAGGGAGAAAUAACAAUGGCAUUUUUAGAUAAAAUAACAGUAGAUUAAAAAAAGUUAAUUUUGUACUAAAUUCCACAGUAAUAUUAUGUCUUGCAGUAAAUUUCUAACUAUCCUGAAGUGAUAACCAGUUUUCUUUUGUGUAAAAGGAGCCAUAGUCUAAGGAGACUCUUGAGUGGCAGCCUAGAUAUGAGAAAUGUUAUUUGAAUUAGGAAUUCUUAUCCAUGUUUAUAGUACUUUCCAGAGGCUUUCUCUCAUUUUUAGGCCUUUUUCACAAAAGCAUAUGCAAUAAAAAUGUUACUGCUGCCA